UAUUGGGUCCAGUAGGGAAAGGUCAGCAGUACCAUGAGAUUGGCAGAUCCAUGGCCACCAUCAUGACAGAUGAGAUUUUUCAUGACGUAGCAUAUAAGGCAAAAGAGCGAGAUGAUCUCCUGGCGGGGAUUGAUGAGUUCCUAGACCAGGUGACGGUGCUCCCUCCAGGAGAGUGGGAUCCCUCCAUUAGAAUUGAGCCACCCAAAAACGUCCCUUCCCAGGAGAAAAGGAAAAUGCCUGGAGUUCCAAAUGGAAAUGUUUGCCACAUAGAACAGGAACCACAUGGGGGUCACAGUGGGCCAGAACUUCAGCGCACUGGGCGGUUUCUUCCAAAGUAUACCAGACAAAUGGAUGACUGGCUGUUUCUAAAGCCCUCCAGGGAAGGGCUCCUUAAGUCAAUGCUCCAGAGCCUAGUCACCCUCUACACAGCCCAGACCCACAUUAUGAUGUUACUGCUGUAAGCUGAGGAAAGGUGAAUCCCAACUAUACCCACCAGAACCAGAGGAAAAGAGCGGGCUAUUUGGGGGCUUGGUGCUGGACAUCAAGCGGAAGGCCCCCUGGUACUGGAGUGACUACCGGGAUG
rnacentral:sRNA from 1 species